rnacentral:rRNA from 1 species
AGCAGUAGCCGCGGUAAAACGUAGGUGGCAAGCGUUGUUCGGAAUUAUUGGGCGUAAAGGGCUCGCAGGCGGUUUCUUAAGUCUGAUGUGAAAGCCCCCGGCUCAACCGGGGAGGGUCAUUGGAAACUGGGAAACUUGAGUGCAGAAGAGGAGAGUGGAAUUCCACGUGUAGCGGUGAAAUGCGUAGAGAUGUGGAGGAACACCAGUGGCGAAGGCGACUCUCUGGUCUGUAACUGACGCUGAGGAGCGAAAGCGUGGGGAGUGAACAGGAUUAGAUACCCCUGUAGUCCCUGUCUCUUAUAC